GCCGAAGUGGCGGAAUUGGCAGACGCGCUAGAUUCAGGGUCUAGUGGGACGUAGGUCCUGUGGGGGUUCAAAUCCCCCCUUCGGCACCA
rnacentral:tRNA from 1 species